ACAGAUGCAGGCAGGGAGCGGGAGGAGGGAAUGGGAAUGAGCUGAGCAGCAGCAUCACAGCUGGAGGGCUGGACAUGGAUGACCAGCUCCUCACUUCCAGGUGUUUCCACAUCAAGCAUCCUGCAGACAGCUAACAAGUUCAUUCUACAAAGUACAGUUCUCACCACUUUAUCCUUCCUCUGCUCGGAAACAGUCAAUGGUUUCCCACUGUCCACAGGGGAUGCUUAACGCAUGUGGGUUAUGCAGCUAGAAAGACAAGGCACAACCUCUUUGGUCUCUGCCUCUUUUCAUGGCACAGACACCAAAAGCCAUCUAAUGGAUGACCAGACAACAUGGAGAAAAGAGCUCUCCUAGAAAGCCAAGGCCCAGAAGAGUGAGGAGAAGGCCUGUGUCCGGCAGGGUCUACUGAUUCUAAGCCUACGACAUACUGAGAAGAAAAUCAACUCUCUAUCAAGGAAUGUGAUAGAUGUGGGGUGUGGGGGGAAUUUAAUAAAACUGUAUCGGUGGAAGGUUCUAGACACUCUGGAAAGUAAACAUCUGCAUUAAUCAGUGUUUGUUGAACACCCAUGGCUUAUGAAAAGCAUUCCCUGGGAGCAGAUUUCCACCACGUCCAACAUCAGAGCAAAGCGUUCUGCUCAGCACAGGAUGGGCAUUAGAGGCAUGUUAGCCAGUUUUGAUCACCCCUCCCCAGUUCUCUGUGUCAAGUGUUCUUAAAUAAGAGAAAACAGCUCUGGGAGGAAGAAAAAAAUUCAGCAACAUAAACUAGGAGCAUCUCAUCAACGAACUGUUCCCUACAUAACUCAGAGCUGCACAAGAGAACACGGAUUCUUCAGCAACAAGUUGAACAGUCACAGCUCCAGUCCAUUAAAAAAAAAAAAGUGACAUGUUAUCUACUCAAUGGAAAAACUUGUGCAUGUUUUCUUUCGGUCUGUAGAAACAACACAGUGAAAACUCAAACCAUUUCAAAUGCACUUGGGCUGUUAAGGGUUGUAAAGCUCUUGCAUUCAAGCAGAGGAAACAAAAGCGUCAAAUAAGAAAAUAUUUACUUGCUCAUAAAGUUCACAAGAGAAGGUAUUCAGCUGUAUGUUAUUUAUAAAUGAUUAAUUACUUUGUCACCUGAAUAAUGUAUAGGAAAUACCUGUUUCUUUUCUUUUUAGGGGGUGGGAGGCAGUAAGAAUAAAAACAAGAGAAACGCACGGCAAGUAGGAGCUAGGAGCUGGUAAAUGUGAGUUCCUUUCUCCUUCCCUUUCCUGCCCUUUUGGGGGGCUUGAUAUGGAAUUACUCAAGGGCGAACGAGAAUUACUCCAGCGCAUGCACAAGUGUGAAACACCAGACUGGGAUCCAAAAGUCUGCUUGUCACUGAGCCGUAAGUUAACCAGCGGCAGAGCUGAGAACAGAUAGGACCAAAAUGUGAUCCUACAAGCAGCAGCCGUCGGUGAAGACAGUCAGGACAUCUCUGGUCUUCAAGGCUCUGAAGAUAAAUCAGUUGUGUGUGCACUCUACUCUUGUCUGUUUUGCUGCUCAGCAGAACCUUGAGAUUUUGGGUGGGUAGAGACAAAUGAAGGUUCAAACAUACAACCGUCAAUUUUCCAAUUUAUUGGCUACACCACGGGGUGGAGAAAACAGCUUCUCACAGGGGAGGCUGCUUGGGUUUCCACUUGAGUUGCCUGGCAGUUGCAAUUCAAUCUGCACAUGCUACUCCCCACCCACCCCCGACCUAAUUUCUUUAGACAAUUAGGAAUAGCUGACUUUUUUAAAAAAACAAGGCAAACUCCACAUAAACAAAGUUGCUCUAUCACCUCAUUUUUUUUAUUCUACCAAAUUGGCAAACAUUCACAAUGAUGUGCUGACUCCAAGGUGGGGAAGGGGCACCUGCAAACUCUGC
rnacentral:lncRNA from 1 species